GACCCGUGUGGAUAAGGGUUUGUAUAUCACAUAAGUGCAAGUGUGCUCAAGAGGCAAGAAGAGGACAUCUGAUCUCCUGGAACUAAUGUUACAGGUGGUCUUGAGCUGCUUGGAACCCAAACCUAGGUCCUGUGCAAGAACAGAAUGCACCUGUCACUGCUCACACAUAUGUUUUAACCUCCAUCACACAUACAUACACACUCCUCCAGCCUCCAAGGAUGCCUGCUUAUACUUGGCAUAGAAUCAUAUACAUAAAAAGAAAGUAAAUCUUGCAGGGUACAGUGACACAAUCUAGCACUUGGGAGGUGGAGACAAGUGGAUCCCUGUAACAUCAACGUCAUCAAGACCUGUCUACAUAAUCAUUUCUAAGCUUGUUUUCCCUCUCCAUUGGCUUUUCACUCUGGGGUUUCACUCUUUAGCCCUGGUUAUCCUGGAACUCAGAUAUAUAUAUCCUACAUCUCAUCUCUGCCUCCCGAGUGCUGGGGUUAAAAGCUUGGAACACCACUGCCCAGCAUAUAAUAAAUCUCUAAAGAAGAGAAUUCCUGCCUAGUGGUAGUGGUGGCUCAUGCUUUUAAUACCAGCACUUGGAAGGCAGAUCACUGUGUGUUUGAAACCAGCCUGGUGUACCGAAUGUGUUCCAGGACAGCCAGGCUACAUAGAGAGAUCCUGUCUCAGAAAAACAAAACAGUGAUAUAAUAGAAGAAAACUUUGUGAGUGAUAUGCUGAUCUGCGGAUAUAGCAGUAUGUCGUUAGGAGUCAUUUUACGGCUCUGUUCAUCUAACAGAGUAAUAGUAGUAAGUAGGUUUUUCUUGGGACCUAUGACCUAUCGAGUCACAGGCUCUUGCUCACUUUAGUAGUCUGGAUGAUUAGGCCUUAAGUUCAAAACAUACGCGUGCGCGCGCGCGCGCGCACGCGCGCACACACACACACACACACACACACCAUAUGGUUGGUUACUCCCCUAAAUUCACGCCACCAUUGCGCCAGUGAGCAUCUCUUAGCAUAUCUCCUUUAAAGCAAAUAUAGUAUAGCUCACAGACUUGUAACCAGAUGAUACUAAUGAUUACUUUUCCCCACCAGGAGUAGCAUGUGUAGCACCUAGCACUAUGAACUCUAGCCAGUAGGGGCAAUGCUUCCAGUUGACUACCAACUUCGUUUCUCCGUGUUCUAUACUGUAAGUACAUGGCACCUUUAGCAAUAGGGCCUUACAAUCAACUUAGCAUUGACAAUAACGUAGUGUUUGAAGGGUCUGUGAGACCUCUUUGGCCAGUGACUUAUGAUGUAGCCCAUUCCUGGCCCUGGAGACUUUACUUGGUUGUAUAAGAUGUCUACUUGUGAUGUUACCUUCCCUAUUAUAUGGUGGUACAUUUAGAGUCCUUUCAUAAAUGUAUAUAUUUGGGGAAGCGUCUACAAUAGUAGGCUUUCAUGUAGCUUUUCAGAAGACCUUUAGUGUUAACUAUCCCUCCCCCUCUAUGCUCCUUCCUUUACCCUGUCCUCCUUACUUAAUCGUUCUAUUGUAGUUUCCAAUGUAUCCCUUUAUACAAUUAUACUCUAUAUCCCAUAUCCUUGGAAGAUUCCCCUCCUCCCAACUGGCCUGUUAUCAGCUACCUAACCUCUGUGGGUAUUCUAAGUGAAUAUAUAUAUAUACACAUAUAUGUAAAGCAUAAAUGCUAACGUCCACAUAGGGGACAACACACAGUGUUUGUCUUUCUGGGUCUGGGUGACUUCACUCAAGAAGCAAACGUGUAGUUCCACCCAUCCAGUCAUCAGAGAAGCUUCUUAAAGUAGAUAAUAAUGAAGACAGACCCACAACUGGAGAAUGUGCAGAGGGCAAGAGACUGGAGCCCCAAGCCUUAAUGGGAUGUCUUUAUCAAACUCCUACCAUCAAAGCUUGGAUCUAUGCAGAUGGAAAUGAAAUAUUGUUAAGUCAGAGGUAAGAGACAAUGUUAAGGAAACUGCAUUUUCCAGAAGGAACAGAAUAGUUCCACAGAGAAACUCACAUUGAGGCCGUGACAGCACGCACAAGACCUGGACAGCCUCAAGCUAGGCAAAACCCUGCCAUAGAGGAGAGGAAGUGGACAUAAAGUCCUGCCCACAAAUGAUAGUUGAUGGGAGAGGAAAAAUCAGUUUUCUUUAAUGGAAUGACACUAUGUAUAUUAACCACACUCAGAGCAGGCCUCAUCAGAUCUUGCUUCUGUCUCCCAAGUGAUGAAAUUAAAGGCUUGUGCCACCACACCUCCCUUGUUUGUUUGUUUGUUUGUUUGUUUGUUUGUUUUAAGAGAGAAAGAAUAUGAAGUUGGGCUGUGGGAGGGGGAGUUGGGGUCUGAGAAAGAAUAUUAAAAAUAUUUUGUAUGAAAUACUCAAAGAAUUCUUCCAGGUGUAGUGGUACAAGUUGUUAAUCCCAACAUUCAGGAGGCAAAGGUAGAAGGAUCUCAGUGAAUUUGAAGCCAGCCUGGUCUACAUAGCAAGUUCCAGAACAUCCAGGACUACAUAGAGACACUGUCUUAAAAAAAUUAUAGUGGCUGGUCUAUGUGGAGUGAACCUAUAAUUCUACCACUCCAGAAGCAUAGUAUUUUCUGGGACCAUGACAACUUUCAAGUUAGAUCCAAAUCAUUUGAGGCCUGUAUGGUGUCUUCAGCAAAAAGGACUUACCUUCAUUUGACUUCUGAGAGACAACCAGAAAAAGUCUAUAUUGUUUUGGGAGUCUUGGGCCACCCUGACCAACCAUAUGAAAGGUGGCUUCUCAUGCAUGCUUGGUACUGGGGGCUUUUAGUAAUCACAGAAACCACGGAAGUAUAGAGGGACAGAAGGUAGGGGCUUGAGUUGGGAAUAGCAGAAUAUGGGUGAUAAAAAGUGUAAAAUAGAAAAACGGGAAAGGACUAAAUACAAAAGGAGGAAGGACCAGAGACAAAGCUUGUUGGAAAAAAAACAUGAAACAAUCAUAUUGUUUUAUUUACCAAAAGCUAUAGGCGACACUUAUAAGCAUAUGCAUACACAUAUAUAUCUUAUGCCACUAUCAAGUAUGGUCUCCAGUAUAUAUGACAAUGCUCCCCACAAGACUCUAGUACAGUGUUAAUGCUGUGCAUGUAGAUGCGAUAGUGUAUUAUAUAAGGAAAAUGACAAUGGAGUAAGUGUCUGCCCAUGGUAAGUACAGACACACUUUUUUUUUUUUUGGUUCUUUUUUUCGGAGCUGGGGACCGAACCCAGGGCCUUGCGCUUCCUAGAUAAGCGCUCUACCACUGAGCUAAAUCCCCAGCCCAGACACACUUUUUAUUCUGAAUAUUUUAGUCUGAGAUUGUUUGACUUCGGAUGUGUGGAACCCAUUAGAAUACUGACAGCAUUUGGUAAAGCUGCCCUUUAAGGAGAUAGUUCAAUGAAGUCACAAAUAUAAGGUACUAAUCUAUUAGGACAGGUAUCCUUAUAAGAAAACACAGACCACGCCCUUUGUGUACACAGUAAAAGCCAAGUGAGAAUUGAGUAAGAAAAUGGCUAUAUACAACGUACAGGAAGAGACACCUUACCAGAAAGCAACCCCCUGCUAUUGUUCUCGUCUUGGACUUUAGCCUUCCAGAACUGUGAAGAAAGUAAACACAUACUGAGUCAGUGUUUUCUAUUGCUGUAAAGAGACAUCACGGCCAUGGCAAUCUUAAAGAAGAAAGUGAAAAUUGGGACUGGCUCACCAUUUCAGGGGUUUAGUCCAUUAUUAUCAUGGCGGGAAGCAUGGCAGGUGGAUUGUAGCACAGAGGCAGACAUGGUGCUGGAGAAAUAGCUGAGAAUUCUAUAUCUGGAUCCACAAGACAGCUGGAAGAGAGUGACAAUGGGCCUGGCUUAGGCUUUUGAAACUUCAAAGCCCGCCCGCAGUGACACACUUCCUCUAACAAGACCACACGUAUUCCAAUAAGGCCAUACCUCCUACACCCUCUCCAGUAAAGCCAGAAUCACUUGGCUGAAGCUGCUAAGGUCUGCCACUUGCUGGGGCUGGAACUUGGCUUCCCAUUCAAAUAUAUUUUCACCAGCUUCCCACUUCUGAUGCUUUCCUUCACUGUUUAAAAGAUUUUCUUUAAUUCCUUUCUACAAGUUGGAAGCUUAGGGCUAUAGAGGUGGCUCAGUGGUUAAGGGCACUGACCAUCCUUCCAGAGGUCCUGAGUUCAAAUGAAGACAGCUAUAGUGUACUCAUAUAUAAUAAAUAAAUAAAUGAAUAAAUAAAUAAAUAAAUAAUAAAUCUUUCUUUAAAAAUGUUGGUGGGGUUGGGGACUUAGCUCAGUGGUAGAGCGCUUGCCUAGCAAGUGCAAGGCCCUGGGUUUGGUUCCCAGCUCCGAAAAAAAGAAAAAGAAAAAAAAAUGUUGGAAGCUUAGCUGAAUAGGGUCUUGCCUUGAGGCUACCACUACCUUUACUCCAUUUAGGACCAGGCUCUUCUUAGUCCGAAACUCUUCAGUUUACCCUCAGGUACCUUCAGUUUACCCAAGAGUUUUUGGAUAAAAGCAGAAAGCAACCACAUUCUUCCCCAAAAUGUCACAAUAAUGGCCUCUAGGUCACUUACUAAUAUCUUCCUCUGAACCUUCUUGAGCCAGGACCUCACAGUUCAAAUCACAUCCUUCCUAGUCUUUCUCAAUAGUGCCGCUCCCUGGUGACUAAGCACUCAGAUAUAUGAGCCUACAGGGUCAUUCCUAUUCCAACCACCACGUGUAUUGAGCCAUGUAGCCUAUAGCGCUUUUUUAUAAUGGCUGGAACCACUAAUACAUUGCCUCCCACUUUCCAGGCUAAUUUUGGGAGACCUGUUUUUGACCGUGUGUGAGAGAAGAAGGCACUCACUUGAAGGAAGGGAAAUUUCACUUCUCCUUGGGGAGCUGGGGACCGAACCCAGGGCCGUGCAUUUGCUAGGCAAGCGCUCUACCACUGAGCUAAAUCCCCAACCCCGGAGUGGAACUAUUAAGAGGUAUGGCCUUGUUGGAGUAGAUGUGGCCUUGUUGGAGGAAGUGUGUCACUGUGGAGGCAGGCUUUGAGGUCUCCGAUGUUCAAGCUACACACAGUGUGGCACACGGUCUCCUGCUACCUGUGGGUCAAGCUGUAGACCUCUCAGCUCCUUCUCCAGCACCAUGUCUGCUUGCACACUGUCAUGCUUCCUACUAUGACAAUAGUGGAUUAAACCUCUGAAACGGUAAGCCAGCCUCAAUUAAAUGUUUUUCUUUAUAAAUGUUGCUGUGGUCAUGGUGUCUCCUCACAAAAACAAAAACCCUAACUAAGACAGCACUCAUGCCUCAGUUCAGAAAAGUAGGCAUACUGUCGUCUUCUUAGGUUUAGUGACUGCCCAAAGGAAGAAACAAGUGUCCAGGGAAGCUGAGCUAAAACAUGAGUCAUCGGCUGUGCCUCACCGAAAAAUCCUGCCAGCCGUAGAAACUGGGAGCUAUAACUAUCCAAGCAGGGUUGAUAGAGAGGAGCAUCCAAGGAUAACUGGGUGUUCAUACAUGCAUGAAGGUACAUGUACCCUCUAGAGUGUGUAAAGUUGUGCAUCCCACAGUAGCCCCCCACACAUGUGUGUACACAGUUAUAAUACCUUGGUGCCUAUAUAUAGGGGUAUGUAGUGUUCAUGCUUUGCUGUUUGGUAUUGAGAUGAUGUGGUUAUGCACACAUUUGUACUACAAGUGUACAUAUAUAUAUUUUCUGGACUACUAGUGUGCAGAUAUGCCCAGUGUGUGCGUGGAUACCUUAUAAAAACAAGUUGUUUGCAAAUACAUUUCCAUUUGCAAAUGCAUAGUAGCCAUGUGUGCUGCCUCGGUGUUCCUGUCUGCUUGUGUACAUGUGCCUAUCAAAGUGCUUAUACAUAUCUGUGUGUGUAUUCAGAGGAGCCCAGGACUGAGGAUGGUGCUUCUAGUAUGGGUGCCUGUGUGUGUGCAAUUGUGAGUGAAUAGGUUACAUGUAAGCUUGGACCUAAAUGUCUGUCUAUGUACAAUUCUGGGAACUUGCAUACAGGCAUGGGUGAGAGAGAAAGACAGAGGGACAGAGAAACACAGACAGACAGUCUGCACUGCAGGCAUCUCAAUUGUCCUAGGACUGAGUGCACGUGUACUCCAAGUGCCCAUAGAUAUUUAUACAUGUAUGCAUGCAUAAAUGAUUAUUUGUCCGUAGGCCUAUGGUUAGGUGUUUGUACGCAUAUACCUCAUGUGAAUGCAUACAUGUAUGGAAGUGAUCAAAUAUGCACAGGAACCCAGCCUUUAGUCUCUAGAUACCCAUACAUGUUACACGGGUAUGCCCACAGUCUAGGCCUAUGUAGAUCUACAUGUAUACUCCAGGGAGCCAUGUUUUUAUUUGUGUAUAUAUAAGGUGCAGGCCUUGGGCCUAGAUCUGGUCAUUAAGGUACAAAUACCCACUAAAAGCUCUGGAUGAAUGUGCUCAUGUAUCCAGCUGUACCUGUAGAACCUUGGGUCUUGGUGUCUAUGAAAAUGUAGCCCUGAAGACCAAGGCCACAUGGGAAGACAGUUGUGAGGUUUACACUUAGCUCAGGAUUGUCAAGGAAACCAAGGAAUGCACCUCCUCUAAGAAUCCAGGUUUUGGCAGAGCCACAGGAGUAAACUUUGACAGCAUUUGGCUUGUCUCAAACAUUAUCAUGUGGAACAAGGAUUGACCUUGGAAAAACUAUUGCUUUCUUCCUUCAGCCACUGCCCCCCCCAUACUGAACAAUUCUAAGAGGUCUGUGGUAACCCUAAAACAUAUGUAAGAAGGUGAGAUGGCUCGUAAGCCACUAAUGUAUGAGGGAGAGGUGCCAGGAAGCCAGCCUGUCAUAGCAUGGAGAAGAGACUUGUGUAUGAUGCUUGUGAGAAAAUUCUACCUGGUAGACUGAAAAGAUGUCCAAAAUGGCCUCCAGAGUUGGGGAGAAGCUUGCCAUACAAAUCGAGAGUCUGGGGACCAACACCAAGGUAGGGGGUAUUCAGACAGCUGAGACCUAGGAGUGGACAAACAGUUUGACCAGGCAUCUUUGCCUGGCUCACUAAGUCAUUGCAGGAAAACAAAUACCCAGGCCUAGAAGGGGCCCAGAGACAAGGAGGCUUUGAGAGGAUGGGUAGGGAGAAUCUAUCUGUUACUGAAGCAUACUCCUUUUCCUUAAAGAACUACCCAGGAUUCCACAAGCCCUGGUGCCUCCUGUAUGUUGUCCCAUCCAUUAUGGAAGAAGCCGAGCCUAGUGGGACUGAGCUAAGAGAGAAACAUCCCUUGCUAGUCCUUCACCACACUGACCCACUUGGCCACUGUAGGGGAAACCAAGACUUCCUCCUACCCCUGGCUGGGGAAGGAUGACUCCUGCCCCUAAAUUCCUAAUCUGCCUCAGAGAAAGGACUGAGGGAUCUCCCCUUCUAAUCUUCACAUUUCAUCCCUGCCCGUCCACCCACCCCCACUCGCACUUACCAAAAGCCCCCUGGUGCAGUAGUAAGACCUCCCCAUGCCUCUACCUCAACCCUAAAACAACAGCUUGCAUCUAGAGCCUUUGAGAGAUCCACAAUACUGACUACUGAAUGCCAGGCAGCAGUGGGCCGUUGUACAUAGCUGUGUGAGAUAUGCCCUAACCAAACACUCCUUGAAAGAAAACCAGGCAUACAAUAUAGCGGGAGCUCUUCUAGCAUUGGGGGUUGGGGGAAGUCCUAGCUUUGCUUUGUAUCCAUAAAAAGGGUAUUCUACUAAGUGUCCAAAGCAUUGCAUAAACCAGUCAGGUCCUUCAGCAUCCAGGCCUUUAAAAACGUGUUUUAGAUUAAUUUAUUUACCUGUCUAUCUAUUUGUGUCUUAUUCAGGGUUUCUACUCCUGCACAAAACAUCAUGACCAAGAAGCAAGUUGGGGAGGAAAGGGUUUAUUCAGCUUACACUUCCACAUUGCUGUUCCUCAACAAAGGAAGUCAGGACUGGAACUCAAGCAGGGCAGGAAACAGGAGCUGAUACAGAGGCCAUGGAGGGAUGUCGCCUACUGGCUUGCUCAGCUUGCUUUCUUAUAGAGGGCAGGACCACCAGCCCAGGGAUGGCAUCACCCACAAUGGGCUGGGUCCUCCCCCUUGAUCACUAAUUGAGAAAAUGCCUUACAGCUGGGUCUCAUGAAGGCAUUUCCUCAACCGAGGCUCCUUUCUCUGUGAUAACCCCAGCUCGUGUCAAGUUGACACACAAGAUCAGCCAGUACAAUUUGUUUAUCUAUUUAGAGAAGGGGCAUCUGAAGGUCAGAGGACAACUUCCAGAGUCAGUUUCCUCCGGCUACAGGCUACCGUGUAAGUCCCAGAAAUCAAACUCCAGUUACCGUGCUUAGAGCAGCAAGCACCUUUCUUUACCUGGUGAGUCAUCUAGCAAUCCAGCAUCCAGAUCUUUAAAGACAGAUGAAGUCCGGAGAUAAGGCAGAGGUGGACGUAGCCUGAGGGAUGGGCAGGCCUCAGCCUGCGGUAGCCGAUGUGGGUCUGCUUUUCUCUUGAAGUGUUAGAAUGCUGUCGAAACGCCUCUCUGUUAGGCAAAACACAGUCUCUCUGUCUCUCCGGGUGAGAAAUGGUGGGGACUGGCAUGGACGCUGCGGUUCUCUAGACACCACUGGGAACCUCAAACAGCUGAAAACAUUUGUUCUCAUCCUGUACACCCAGACACAACUGAGGAUCAAGAGGAGUUGAGAAUGGGGGCCCACGGGCCUGUGAUGAGCCCAUCUUAGCUCUGGGUGAGGGCCAGGAGUGUGCAGUGGUUCUUGACGAAGGACACACAGUCUUUACUUGUCCAAACUGCUUUAUUCAUGGUUGAUGUGGAUGCAUAAGACCUACUCAGGAUGAACCAGAGACUAAAUACCUUUUGCAGGAAGGGAUGGCCAGGAAGGGAAGUUCAUUGGCUAAACACUCGGGGCCUAUCCAGAUACCUCACUAGCAUGAAGAACUCUUAGGUUCUAUGCUACGUGACCUCUUGUCAUGGUCCUCUUUGUGGGGUGUUGUGGUCAUGUGCUCCAGGACCAGGAAUCUGGUCUGGAGCUAGUUUGAACUGCCAUUCUCAACUAUGAGUUUUAUUGGGGUUCUGAACUCUGCUACUACCUUAUCAGUUAUCGUCUGGUGACACAGUUCACUGUCCCACAAGCCACUGUCUUGUACAGUUUAGUAUAGUAGUUAAGAAAAAUUGUGAAAAGCUUUUCUUUUUAUUAUUUUUAAAGAUUUAUCCAUUUAAUGUAUGUACAUGAGUUCACUGUAUCUAUCUUCAGACACACCAGAAGAGAACAUCAGAUCCCAUUACAGAUGGUUGUGAGCCACCAUGUGGCUGCUGGGAUUUGAACUCAGGACCUCUGGAAGAGCAGUCAGUGCUCUUAACCUCUGAGCCAUCUCUCCAGCCAUGAAAAGCUUUUCAGUGGAUGAAGAUCUUUCCCAAGGUGCCUUUUAAAAAUAAUAUUUUAUUGAGAAUUUCCUACAAUGUAUUUUGAGCCUCUUCUCUUACCCAAUUCCUCCAGAUCCACCCCCACCUCCCUACCUACCCAACUUUGUGUCCCCUCUCUCUCUCUCUUUUGAACUUGUCAAGUCUAAUUCGCGUUGCUCAAGUACGCUUGUAUGUGUAGGUAGGUGCCUUUUGAAGGGAAUGUUUGUAGGGUCUACUAGACCCUUAAGGUUUAUCCAAUUCUUUUUAGGAUUUGUGUCGCUAUGUAGCCAGUCUGGCCUUAGCCUGCCCUAUCUUCCCAUGUGUGCAUGACCACUGUGGACUUAAAGCAAGUUCUUUUUUUUUUUUUGCCCCUCAAGACAAGCAAGUUGUACCACUGACCUAAAUUCCCAGCCAAGGUUUAUCUGAUUCUACAGACAGAUUAUGCCUUUAUCUUUGAAAGCAUGGGGCUAGAAGUUACCCUGCACUGCUAAUGAUAGCCACUUAUAAAAAUGCAAAUGCACAAAAGUGGAGGAACACAAGGAUAGGCACCUAUAGGAUACCCUGGGACAUCACCUCUAGGACCUUGGUUUCCACAUCUAUAUAGUAGGCUCUUUAGGACUGUGGGCUACUGAGGACCUUUGCAGCCAUCUUUUCGGGGGAGAACAGUUUGUCUCCAUGAUUUUAACAGCUAGAGACUGAGGAUACCUGAGCCCACCAGGCCCUGCUCUCCCAAAGACAAAGUCCACUAGGCAAGUGGGUAGGGCAUUCUGUAAAGCAUCCGAAGCAUAAAACGUGGCCCAGCAGACUGAGCAGCAGAAGCAUGGUUGGCCAAGUUUCUGAGCCAAUGAGCAGGAUGUUUGAAUCCAGGCUAUUCCUGAGUCCUGCCUGCUGAUCGUGUGAGAGACUAGGAAUGGAUUCCGGUAGCUUGACAGAGCUCUUAGUCACAACUCCUGUCUAUGACAUUAACAUGCCCUGACAUCAAACAACCAAUCGAAAUGGCACGGCAGCCUUACCUGACCUGACCAGGCAGGAAAGCAGAUGUACUCUUUGGUAAUAUGUGGGUGGAAAAUGGCAGAAAGCCAAGUAAAACCAGCUUAAGGGAGAAAGAAAUUACAAGAUGAUGGGAACAGCCUGAGCCAAGUUGAACACUCAGUCAGCAGCUUGCCCAAGGACUCUACCUGCAGCAGCAAAGGAGAUUUGUGUGGCCUAUGAGUCCUCAGCACUCCACAGGCUUUCCCUCAGGGGUAGCCUCACUAACUCACAAAGUGAGGCGCCUCAGACCAUCGGCAAGUUUGACUCCCUUUGUUCCAGUUUUAGGUCAUGUGGUCUGGCUUGGCUCACACACUUAUUCCCAAAUUUCAUCCUCCGCAGUAGUGUUUCCGGGGACAGGAAGAAAGGGGACUGUGCCGUUUACAUAGACAGAGUUGGUUUGGCCUAGGAGAAGCCCAAGAAUGUAUGUCUGCAACAAUCUGCUACCGAGGAGUCGUUCGGCAAACCCACAGGCAUUCGUGGUCCUACUCCACACCAUUCAGAAGUCCUCAGUUUCAUCCCACAAGUUGUCUCAUCUCUCUUUGGCCCCAGAAAUUCUGUGACCCAUGACAGAUGGCAUGAAUCUGUAUUAGAAUGGCAAGGAUUCUCAAAAGUGCUGAACCACAUUUGUGGCAGAGACUGUCUAUAAAAGGAAGGGAGUUUGUCUUCUGGCAGAAUUUAGGGCAGUGCAGAAAGGAAGCGGGGGUGGGGGGUGGAUCUCUUGGGAAACUUACUGCUCCGAAGACCUAGCUAGAGUCACAAAGGUGGCAGAAGAGGAAAAAAGCAGCCUGCUUCCUAGUUCAAUGUCCCCAUGUAGAGCAGAUGGUUCUCCCUUCCUCUGGGGAAUCCAUCUGUCCCUCUCUGGGCCUGGCAGGUUGAUUCCAUUCUUUUUUUUUUUUUUUGGUUCUUUUUUUUUUGGAGCUGGGGACCGAACCCAGGGCCUUGCGCUUCCUAGGCAAGCGCUCUACCACUGAGCUAAAUCCCCAACCCCGGUUGAUUCCAUUCUGAUGCUGUUGUGUUAUGUAGGUUUCUAUCGCUAUGAUAAACAUGAGGACCAAGAGCAACCCGGGGAGGAAAGAGUUUAUUUCUGCUUACACUGUACAACACUGAGAAGUCAGGGCAGAAAGUCAGGGCAGGAGCUGAAGCAGAGGCCAAGGAGGAACAUUUGUUUACUGGCUUGCUCGGCUUGCGUUUUUAUAAAACCCAGGACCACCUGCACAGGAAUACCACCACCCAUGGUGGGGUGUGCCCUCCUAUUUCAAUCAUCAUUCAAGAAAAUAUCCCAAAUAGCUGGGUGCAGUGGCACAGUCCUUUAGUCCCAGCCCUCAGGAGACAGAGGCAGGCCGAUCUCUGAGUUUGAGGCCAGCCUGGUGAUCUACAGAGCAGGUUCCAGGAGAGUCAAGGCUAUACAGAGAAACGACAUCUAUAAAAACAAAAAAAAAAGGAAAGAAGGGAGGGAAGGAGGGAGGGAGGGAGGGAGGAAGGGAGAGAGGGAGGGAGGGAGGGAAGGAAGGAGGGAAAACAGGAGCCAGUUGUGGUAGCACACACCUUUAAUCCUAACACUUGGGAGGCAGAGGCAGGAGGCCAGCCUGGUCUACAGGUUGAGUUCCAGGACAGCCAAGGAUCCAAGGACACACAAAGAAACCCUGUAUCAAGAAAGAAAGAAAGAAAGAAAGAAAGAAAGAAAGAAAGAAAGAAAGAAAGAAAGAAAGAAAGAAAGAAAGAAAGAAAGAAAGAAAGAGAGAAAGAGAGAGAGAAAGAGAGAAAGAGAGAGAUAAAGGAAGAAAGAAAGUCAGAAGGGAAGGAAGAGAGAGAGAGAGCAUGCCCACAGAUAGGAGGCAUUUUCUCAGCUUCAGUUCCUUUUCCUACAUAACUCUGUCUUGUGUCAGGUUGACAAAACACGAAUCAGCCUAGAGACAACACUUAGAUUCCUUCUUCCAGCCAGGGCCCUCAGAAUUGCCUUGAAUGCAGCUCAGUUUUAUAGGGUUGGGUAUGGUGGCACAGGCCUUUAAUCCUCACUGUCUGGAGGUUCAGGCAGGCAGAUCUCUGAGUUCAAGGCUUCAAGGCAAGCCGAAGUUACAUACUGAAGACUCCCAUCUUUAGUGGUAGUUGGGGUGGGGAGGGAACCGGACCAGAGAAAUGGCUGAGUGGUUAAGAGUUCAAGCUUCUCUUGCCAAGGACCCAAGUUUACUUCCCAGUACCCAAGUCAUGCAUCUCUCAAUCACCUGUAACUCUGACUUCAAUAGACUCUGACACCUCUGACCUCUGUGGGCACCAACACUCAAUGUGUGCAUACCCACCCAUACCUAUGCACAUAAACUUUUUAAAAAAUUAAAUCAACAACAACAAAACCAUCCUAGGACCAGCAAGAAGGCUGUAAAGACACUUGCCACUAAGUCCAACAACCCGGGUUUGAUCUCCAGAAUCCACAUGGUAAGAGAAAACUGACUCCUGCAAGUUGUCCUCUGACCUCCGUGUGUGUGUGUGUGUGUGUGUGUGUGUGUGUGUGUGUGUGAGAGAGAGAGAGAGAGAGACAGAGACAGAGACAGAGACAGAGACAGAGACAGAGACAGAGAGGAGAGAGACAGAGACAGAGAGAGACAGAGACAGAGAGAGACAGAGAGACAGAGUCAGAGGGACACAUAAACAGAGACAGAGAGAGACUGAAAUGCAUAAGAAUGAGAAGUGAGAAGCUGGGGCCAGAGAAGUUUCCGGAACUGGAGAGGAGGAGUGUGAGAAGAGCUAGGUGCUUGCGCUACUGAGGGAGCCUGGAGGCCAGCAUGCACUUUAGUGUCUCAUAGGCACCACAGAGAGCAUUUGUUCCUUGUUCCAGCAAUAAGGAAAUGGCUCUUUAGGUAGGGAAGAAUGGGAGCUGGAAUUUGGAGGAGUGAAGUUUCCAUUGGCCCUGACAGUUGGAAACAGAGAAGCAGAAAGAGCAGCAGUUUACGGUCAUCAUCUGCUACACAGCAUGUUUUGUUUUUUUUUUCCAGAGCUGGGGACCAAACCCAGGGCCUUGCGCUUCCUAGGCAAGCGCUCUACCACUGAGCUAAAUCCCCAACCCUACACAGCAUGUUUAAGGCCAACCUAGAUUCUGUGAAACUUGGCUUCCAAGGAGAACAAAAAUUACCAUCUUAAACCUGUGUCAGGGACUCUGGGCUGGAAGUUGUCUCAAUGUCUUCUAGAAAUUACACCCUGACAGGAGCCAGGCUCAUUACAGAGGUCCCACUGGCACUGGAAUGGGGUAACAAUGUGCAGGUGUGGUGAAACAGAAAGCCAUGGGCAAAAACAGGCCUUGGUGCUAUCCCAGCCCCACAGAGUCCUUCUGCAGUUUAUCCCCACAAAUACUCACCAAGCAGAAAGAGGCCAACAGGAGCUUUACUGUUGGUCGAUGGAGUCCAGUAGUCUACAGUAGCUUGGGGAAAAAAUGCACAGUGUGGGCACUGGAACAGAGAUGGGUACUUGGGGAGAUGGUCAGGUCAAAGGAGAUCUGUCCAUGGUGAGGGAGUCCUGAAUGUGGGACAGGAAAUGGGAAAGCCUUCUCUACCUCAGAGAUAGCAUUACCUCAAAGGUAACACAGAACUGAGUCUUGACAGAAAAGGUAUGGGCUCCAGAUGAGAAGGGAAGAGAUGGCCUUCCAGUUGGAAGGUACUGCACAGGCAAAGGCAGGGAGGCAUCAGAAGGAAGUCAAGGCAAAGGAAUGAGGUGGGCUCUGCUCCGGGUAACAGGCUCUGGGAAAGUCACUAGAUGACAGAACAGAUAGGACAGAAGAAAAGGAUCUUUGGAUCCCAGACAUCAACAUCUGAGUGUCCUUGAGGGUACCCUGUUUCCUUCCCCUUCACCUCCACUCUGAGGUCUCACUAUCACAUUGGACAGAGAAAUUGGUGUGGCUGGGAUGAAAUUAGGGAAAGUCUGGGACCCAUUCUUGACCAGGAUAGGCUUGGUGACUGGACCUAUGUCUUUUGGACAUAUCCUCCCCUCUGUGGCAAUUAUCCAUAGUCUCUACUCUCCACACAGCUCCUACUGCACUGCGGGACUUGAAUAAGUCAUUAAGGAGCUGGGUCUGGUGAUGCACAUCUGUAAAUGGACCACUCCAGAGACUUAGCCAUGUGGGUUCAAGCCCAACCUGGGAUAGAAAGUAAGCUAUCUAGACCUAGGAAUUCUUUUUUUUUCUUUUCUUUAUUUCGGAGCUGGGGACCGAACCCAGGCCUUGCGCUUGCUACGCAAGCGCUCUACCACUGAGCUAAAUCCCCAACCCCAGAAUUCUUUUUUUAACACUUUAAUUACAUUAUUUAUUCCCCCCUCGUGUGUGUGUUUGUGUGUGUGUGUAUGUGUGUUUUGCUGGGAUUAGAAUCCAGGGCCUAACACAUACCAAUUGAAAGCUCUCUCAGGGGCUUGUUUGUUUCCUUGCUUUGAUUAGUUGUACACUGGUAUAUUGUUUUCUUUUUAAAAAGAUUUUUAUUUAUUUAUUAUAUAUCGGUACACUGUAGCUGUCUUCAGACACACCAGAAGAGGGCAUCAGAUCCCAUUACAGAUGGUUGUGAGCCACCAUGUGGUUGCUGGGAUUUGAACUCAGGACCGUUGGAAGAGCAGUCAGUACUCUUAACCGCUGAGUCAUCUCUCCAGCCCUUGGUAUACUUGUUUCUUAAGUGCUGGGAUUACAGACAUUUGCCAACCACACAUGGCUAAUUCUUGAGAUAAGACCUUCUUCCUGUGUUUCCCAGGCUGGUUCUUGAAUAUCUGAGCUCAAGAGAUCCCUCUUACCUGGGCAUGGCCCUUGACACAUGUUCCUGUCAUCUCAGCACUUAGAGGCUGAAGCAGUUUGAUCGCCCGCCCGCCCUUGAGCUUGAGGCCAUGGCUGUAUAAUAAACAGGGGGGUGGGAGGGAGCAGGGGAGCGGGGGCAGCAGGGAGAGCAGGGAGUGCGGGGACAGCGGAGCUUCCUGAAUACCUAGCACCACAACCAGUCCAGGUAAGGAUGUUUAAAGAAUCACUCUGAAUAGGAUGUAAUGGUAAGCUAUGGUCGUAUGCCUCGCUAAGUCAUGACCAGGAGAGAGUAGAGUACACUGGACAGUAAAGCUGUAAUUGGUAGUAAGAAUGCCUAUUAGCCAGGGUCGGGGGGACUGGGCACAUAGCAUAGCUUAACAGUACAGCUCUUGCCAAGAACCCACAAGGCUCUGGGCUCCACAUCCCCAGCACUGCAGGAAAAAAAAUGAAACAAACCAUACCAGCAGGAUUAGGAGAUAUUUGUUCAUUUGUUCUAUUGGUACAAUGUUCAUUUCUCUGUUCUCAGACAAGAUUACAGACAGAUCAUGUUUUUGUCACAAUUUGUCAUAGUGGAAGGGAAGCCUUAGGAAAUCUGGGACCCUGCAGAGAAACAAAUGCUUAAUCUUUAAAGCCGGCUAUAGUUGGGAGGCUUUAAUUAGAACCCAAGGCUUUCUAUGUACCAGACAAGCUACCUAGCUAGGUACUCAGCCCCUGAACCGGCUUCCAGUCAUAUAUGUCUAUCCACAGAUGGCCACUUGGGUUGCUUACCACAUCAGAAUUUAAGGUGCUGCCUCCGUGGGUGGCUUCUAUGGCAGCAUGAGGUCCUGUGUGGGAGGGUGUAGUCACCAGCCAAGUCUUCAACAAUGUGCAAAAACAAGUCUUUGUGAAAUUAAAUCUUAACCAACACGGCCUAUUAGAUGGCAGCAAGAAAGACUGGUUUUGAGCUGCUGAGAUGGUUCAGUGGGUAAAAAGCACUUUCUAUUCAAGGCCUGGCAACCUGAGUUCUGAUCCCUGAAACCCACAUACAGAGAGGAGAGAACUGACUUCAUGUGCCAUGGCGUACGUGCCUGCUCAUCAUACAUACACACAAUGAAUUUAAAAGUGAGUUUUAAAAUAUUUUUCUAUUGGGCAUAGUCACAAACACCUACACUGCCAAAUCAGAAGCAGGAGGAGCUCAACCUCAAUACCAGCCUAGACUGCAUAGAAGGACAUGGUGUCAAGAAACCAGGAUUAGCCUAGCAAGCGCAAGGCCCUGGGUUCGGUCCCCAGCUCCGAAAAAAAGAAAAAAAAAAAAAAAAGAAA